GAUGAACGCUGGCGGCGUGCCUAAUACAUGCAAGUCGAACGAGUUCUCGUUGAUGAUCGGUGCUUGCACCGAGAUUCAACAUGGAACGAGUGGCGGACGGGUGAGUAACACGUGGGUAACCUGCCCUUAAGUGGGGGAUAACAUUUGGAAACAGAUGCUAAUACCGCAUAGAUCCAAGAACCGCAUGGUUCUUGGCUGAAAGAUGGCGUAAACUAUCGCUUUUGGAUGGACCCGCGGCGUAUUAGCUAGUUGGUGAGGUAAUGGCUCACCAAGGCGAUGAUACGUAGCCGAACUGAGAGGUUGAUCGGCCACAUUGGGACUGAGACACGGCCCAAACUCCUACGGGAGGCAGCAGUAGGGAAUCUUCCACAAUGGACGCAAGUCUGAUGGAGCAACGCCGCGUGAGUGAAGAAGGCUUUCGGGUCGUAAAACUCUGUUGUUGGAGAAGAAUGGUCGGCAGAGUAACUGUUGUCGGCGUGACGGUAUCCAACCAGAAAGCCACGGCUAACUACGUGCCAGCAGCCGCGGUAAUACGUAGGUGGCAAGCGUUAUCCGGAUUUAUUGGGCGUAAAGCGAGCGCAGGCGGUUUUUUAAGUCUGAUGUGAAAGCCCUCGGCUUAACCGAGGAAGCGCAUCGGAAACUGGGAAACUUGAGUGCAGAAGAGGACAGUGGAACUCCAUGUGUAGCGGUGAAAUGCGUAGAUAUAUGGAAGAACACCAGUGGCGAAGGCGGCUGUCUGGUCUGUAACUGACGCUGAGGCUCGAAAGCAUGGGUAGCGAACAGGAUUAGAUACCCUGGUAGUCCAUGCCGUAAACGAUGAAUGCUAGGUGUUGGAGGGUUUCCGCCCUUCAGUGCCGCAGCUAACGCAUUAAGCAUUCCGCCUGGGGAGUACGACCGCAAGGUUGAAACUCAAAGGAAUUGACGGGGGCCCGCACAAGCGGUGGAGCAUGUGGUUUAAUUCGAAGCAACGCGAAGAACCUUACCAGGUCUUGACAUCUUUUGAUCACCUGAGAGAUCAGGUUUCCCCUUCGGGGGCAAAAUGACAGGUGGUGCAUGGUUGUCGUCAGCUCGUGUCGUGAGAUGUUGGGUUAAGUCCCGCAACGAGCGCAACCCUUAUGACUAGUUGCCAGCAUUUAGUUGGGCACUCUAGUAAGACUGCCGGUGACAAACCGGAGGAAGGUGGGGAUGACGUCAAAUCAUCAUGCCCCUUAUGACCUGGACUACACACGUGCUACAAUGGAUGGUACAACGAGUUGCGAGACCGCGAGGUCAAGCUAAUCUCUUAAAGCCAUUCUCAGUUCGGACUGUAGGCUGCAACUCGCCUACACGAAGUCGGAAUCGCUAGUAAUCGCGGAUCAGCACGCCGCGGUGAAUACGUUCCCGGGCCUUGUACACACCGCCCGUCACACCAUGAGAGUUUGUAACACCCGAAGCCGGUGGCGUAACCCUUUUAGGGAGCGAGCCGUCUAAGGUGGGACAAAUGAUUAGGGUG
rnacentral:rRNA from 2 species